GGGUCGGGGGAGUGAGUAUACAUGUCCCUUCUAGUAAUUGAAAUUUAAAAGCGUGAUAUAAUUACUAGGAGUGACAAUGUAUACUCACUCCCCCGACCC
rnacentral:miRNA from 1 species